rnacentral:rRNA from 1 species
UUCGCAAUGCCCGAAAGGGUGACGAAGCGACGCCGCGUGUGGGAAGAAGGCCUUCGGGUUGUAAACCACUGUUGGGAGUUAGGAAGUGUGGAGGUGUUAAUAGCGCUUUCACUUGACUAAAGCUCCAGAGGAAGCCACGGCUAACUCUGUGCCAGCAGCCGCGGUAAUACAGAGGUGGCAAGCGUUGUUCGGAAUUAUUGGGCGUAAAGAGCACGUAGGCGGUUCUGCAAGUCGGCUGUGAAAGCCUUCCGCUCAACGGAAGAACAGCAGUUGAUACUACAGGACUAGAGUGCGGGAGGGGAGAGUGGAACUUCUGGUGGAGCGGUGAAAUGCGUAGAUAUCAGAAGGAACGCCGGCGGCGAAAGCGACUCCCUGGCCCGUAACUGACGCUGAGUGUGCGAAAGCUAGGGGAGCAAACGGGAUUAGAUACCCCGGUAGUCCUAGCCGUAAACGAUGGGCACUAAGUAGAGGGGUUUU